rnacentral:snRNA from 1 species
GUGCUCGCUUUGGCAGCACAUAUACUAAAAUUGGAGUGAUACAGAGAAGAUUAGGAUGGCCCCUGUGCAAGGAUGACACACAAAUUCAUGAAGCGUUCCAUAUUUUU